AACAACAUCAUUACCAUAAUCCAGCAGCUACUUGCUACUUAGCGGAUAUCUUACAAGUUGCUCACACACACACACAUACUACACGCUUAAAAGAGAUUGGCACUCACACCGACCUGCCUCACAGCGCGCCUACCUGCCACUCAUCACCUGCACUGGUACCGAACCCCACCAACCACUGCUGCUGCGGCCGUUUUCACGCUGCCGCCAGCCGCUAUUGAGCGCCUCAGCACAGUCGCAUUUCAGUCUCACAACGGCUUUCAGCAGCGACGCGCAUACAACGGCGAACUGUUGCAAACGACACAGCAUUCGUUUAAGUAAACAAGUGAAAAGAAAUAGAAAUAAUAAAUGCUUUAGUUGCGGAUAAACAAAAGACGCUUCAGCAACAGUCAAAUGAGAGAGAUACAAGCGUGUAGAAAGCAGCAAUCAAGGUGAGGGAGAACGGCGCUUAAGUUUCAUUAAGAAAGUCUGUGUAGGAAAAGCGCACUUUUUUCAAACGCGUAUACCAGAAACUAUCACAUCACUACACACACACACGCACCGAAAGCAUAAACAAAGCGCUGUGGGUAGUGAUGAGCACUGUUAGCAUUGCUUUAAGCGCAGAUUAAAUUAGCUAAUUUCGCGUAAAUUGCAUUGAAAUAAAAGCAGUGAAUUCUAAGAUAAGCUAUCCGCGCGCAGUGGUGCUACCUCAGUUGCAACGAGAAAGACGGACUUGAUUUUAAUGAAAGUUCGCGGAAUAUGAACCUGAAAGCUUGUUUACUAAAAA